UUAGGACCCUUGAGGUGUAAUGACCGAUGUAUAUUUGAGUAAUGAAUAGAACAACACUUAUGUAAAAAAAAGAAAAAAAAACCGGAGAGAGGGAGAGAGAGAGAACUGCCAAUAAGAGGCUUAAGAAAUUUCUGCAUGCCGCUGUCGAACUCCUUCCCUAGGAAAAAGGCUCUUCUUCUAAAGACCUGCAUUUAUCGUUUUUCCCCUACAUCGAACUGCCUGCCCUGAAUUUCCUGUCCUGAUUGCAACAAUAAGGAGAGCAGGGAUCAUCUAUUCUUCACAUGUACUGUUACCAGUGGGAUUUGGAUUAGUAUACUCAGCAGGUUAGGCAUCAGCAAACAGAAUGUGGACUGGACAACAGAGACUGCAUGGUUACUUAUUCUGAAGGCAGAAUCGGAAAAUGUAAUGUGAAGUAAUGCUAGGUGAAACUUACUAUUUUUAUGGCCCUUUGUCUUCAACUGAGAACAUCAGGAUACCUGUGAGUCCUGUCGGAGUGCCAGUUCCCUUCCGAAACGCCGCUGUUCUUUUGCCUGGGAUAACAUUAGAUGAAAUUUUACCACCAACCAGUCAUCAAUGUGCUGUUUUCCAUAUAAAUCAUUUCUCUACAAUGGAGAAAUUUUAUGGAACAAAUCAGGGAGAGGCGAAUUUGAAUGGCUCAGGCUCUUCACCGAAGUUCUCAUAAUGCGAAACAAGCUCAGGGACAUCCGCAUCUUGAUAUUAGGAUAUGUGAAAGCAGAUUAGGUUGGCAUAAAGAGUGAGAUGCAUCUUGGUGAAGAACUUUCGGUUUGGAUCGAUUAUCAUCGGAGACAAGUAUAGCGUGCAGGAGGGUAUGAGUAUGAAUUAACUGAUUUUAAAGCAUGUAAAUUCUGUUUUGGCUUUUGUGCACUGAGGAUCUUAGCAACUGCUUCCUGUACUGUGAUUAUAUAUUAUGAUCCUGCAAGAGUGCUCUACGAUC